rnacentral:rRNA from 1 species
UGCGUGGGGGGGCCCUGACCGCCUUCCGCGUGUGCGAUGAAGGCCUUCGGGUUGUAAAGCACUUUUGGCAGGAAAGAAAUCGCACAAAUUAAUACUUUGUGUGGAUGACGGUACCUGCAGAAUAAGCACCGGCUAACUACGUGCCAGCAGCCGCGGUAAUACGUAGGGUGCAAGCGUUAAUCGGAAUUACUGGGCGUAAAGCGUGCGCAGGCGGUUCGGAAAGAAAGGUGUGAAAUCCCAGGGCUUAACCUUGGAACUGCACUUUUAACUCCCGAGCUAGAGUAUGUCAGAGGGGGGUGGAAUUCCGCGUGUAGCAGUGAAAUGCGUAGAUAUGCGGAGGAACACCGAUGGCGAAGGCAGCCCCCUGGGAUGAUACUGACGCUCAUGCACGAAA